CUCAUCAUGGGAAUGGGAGCACUGUGGCAGUGCUAAGUGGCAGUGCCUGCUGUCUCCAUUGUCCAUUAUCUCCAGCCCCAGGUGAGAAGCAUGUCCUUGCACUUACUCCCAGGAUGGUGAGCUCAUCCCCUUAAGCAGCUCCCAGGGGGCUGGGGGAUCCCUGCCUGCUGUGCCAGCCACAUGCCCAGCCUCUUGGCAAGGGACAACCCUUACCCACUAUGCCUCUAAUUUAGUUGGUCUAGUGAUUCUCAGCCAGGGUGCCAUGGCACUUUGGGGGGGGCCUUGAGAUCUUUUCAAGGAUGCCGUGGGGUGCUACAUAAUGUUCUCACUGUUGUGUACAAAUGUGAUUCACAGGAUAAACCCAGAGAUUUCGCAUAAGAAUCCAGAGCAUCAAAAACGUCUUGCCCUCAUGUGGGCUUUCUGGGUUCUUUGCAACAGAAGAAUUGCUUUAGUAUUUUUCCUUAGUUAAAAAAUUAGUGAAAACAAAGCUGGUGUUUUUUGAGCAGGGCUUCAAACCUGUCAAGGGGUGCCUUGCAUCUAAAAAGUUUGAGAACCACUGACUUGGCUUACAAGGUACAACUCUACCCUGUCUUUUAGCACUUAUCUCUGGGCAUGGGUGCUCAGGAACAGGUGAAGUUCCCUGAUGGGUUACCAGGGGGCAGGGAAGGUGGCUGAGAUGAUGGGAGAUGGAUGAUGGGAACAGCAUCAUGAGUUCAAAGUGGCAGAGUGGGAAGCUUCUCACCAAUCUGCAACCCGCUAGGCUAUGGCCCUGUGCCCUCUCCUGCUCCAGCUGUCUGCCCCCCCCCCCCUUUGUCAAGGAGAGAAUUGGAGUAAAUUAGAGCAGCCUUCAAGAUGCUCCUUCACUUAGCUGCUUGCGGCCCCAGGGCCAGAGGUGAGCAGUGAGCCUGGUAACGCUGCAGUGCAUCCAGGGCUGAGUCUGGGGAAGCCCAGGCAGGUGAUGGACUUUGGCUCUCUUUUGGAUGUUGUUGCUAAAUCUCCUUGAUCCUUAAUUAUAACUAGGGCUUCUUUGGCAAUCCUUAGCAGAUUAGAUUGGAUUGAAUUGGACAAUAUCAUGUUAUCAGGCAUUGGUUUAUUAAAUGCUGGCAUGUUCCAGAUAGAGAUGAGGCAAAUUGUUUAACAGUGAGAGCGCUUGACCCCUGAGACCAACAGCUGGGGAGGGAGGCUCUGAUCAAGACUGGAGCCUUGAUGGAAGACCAAGUUAAGCCGCCAAAGGUGUUGCUAUCUCUGCAGGAGUUCCAGGAUGUAAUGCCAAAGCUCAGAAGAGAUGAUCUAUUGCAGGGGUUUGAAACACCCCAUGCACUGGGCUGGAUCUGACUGGCAGGUCGGCAGUGCUGGGUGAUAGAAUCAUAGAAUUGAAGGACCGGAAUAGACCUGCAAGAUCAUCAAGUCCGGUCCCCCAUCGUGGGCAGGAAAUUAUUGGGCUCAGACAAGCUCAGCAAGGUGCUUGUCCAGUCGCAUUUUGAACACCUCCAAGAUGAGGUAUAGCAGACCCCACACUUGGCUUGCCUUGCCCCCAGCUUCUCAGCCCCUCCAGCUAUGAGCUGGAGCCCAUGGGCCAUAUAUUUGACACCCCUGAUCUAAUGGAUACUUUUGAUCUUAACAAAAAAGGAACAGGACUAGGAACAACAGCCUCAAGCUGCAGCAGGGGAAAUUGAGGUCAGAAAUGAGGAACUUUCUGAUUCUGAAGGUGGUGAAGCAUUGGAACAGGCUGCCUAGAGAAGUAGUGGAGUCUCCAUCCUUGGAAGUUGUCAACAGCAGGUUGGACAGACGUUUGGUUGGGGUUAUUUAGUCAGGGAUGCUCCUGCCUCGAAUAGGGGGCUGGACUAGAUGUGGCCCUGUGAGGUCCCUUCCAGCCUGACUUUCCUAGGAUCUCUCGCAACCCCUUUUCUGUGAUGUCAGUUCAAGGUGCUUGGCUAGGGCAUGUGGACAGGAUUAGGUUCAUGCAGGUGCCAAUAAGCUUCAUUACCUGCUGGAAUCGAGAUAACAGGCUUGUAUUUCUAUAUUACAAGGCAAUGCACAAAUGUGGUGUGAAGGAUCUGAGGCACUGUUGCAGGCUCACAAGCGCGAGAGGUCCAUAAAGGCUAGGAACGGGCAUUGCGUUUGUCCCUGAACAUGUUUUGCCCAUGUUUGUCUUGGGAUUGGCACGAAUACACAUCACCUUUUCCACUGGGGUUUAGUGAGCAGCUAAAUGUACUGCUGCUUUUCUGCCAUUGAUUCAAUUAUAUAAUCCCAGGCCAUCUGUUCAAACACAUUUUUGCGAUGUCUUGGGAGCAGAGCAGCAGAUCAAGCGAGGGAAGAGGAUCCAAGUGACAGGAUGUAUGACUUACCUUAUGGCAGGUCUGCCAUUCAUUUGACCCCACUGGAUUAACUGAAUCAGAGAGACAUCAGCUUUCAUGCAUACAGUCUCACUUCAUCAGAUGCUGUAUGAGCUCUUGCUCAUGAAAGCUGAUGCCUCUCUGAUUCAGUUAGUCUGUAAGGUGCAUCUCUGCCCUGCCUUCUGCUACGUAGCUGCUACUUCAGACCCAUGAAUCUACCUACCUCUCUUCCCAUAACAGGCUAAAUUUUCUCAGUGAAUAACAGAGCCUUUUACUAAACAAAUCGAACAUUUACCACCAAAAUCUAGGCCUAGCCUACACUGGAAAGAACAGGCCUGUAUAGCAAACCAUUCUGGUCCAGCUGUGGGUUAUUGCUGUAAAAGAAUACUGCUCAUGCCCAUUUGUGGGAGGAAAUAAGCCAUGCUACCAAGGGAAUUUUUUUGAGUGCUCUAUGACUGCAUUUUCUCUUUACCUUUGCCUAGGUGAAUGCAGUGUCUUUCUUUUUGUACUCCUGACAGAGCCUGGCAGGCAAAGCUGUUGGGUGUAGAUCAGUGGUUCUCUACCUUUUUAGACUCUACCACCUUGCCUUGGGAAAUGCCAGCUUUUUGCUCUCACUCGUUUUUGAUGCCAGAAAAAUGCUAGAGCAAUUCUUGUGGUGCAGAGAACUCAGAGAGCCCACAGCAGGGCAGAGCAUUUGUGACACUAAUGGAUUCCUAUUUGAAAUCUCUGGGUGUGCGUUGUGUGUAAGUGUUUGCAUGCCUACCAGGGCUAAUACUGCGUGGCACCCUUAAAAGGAUCUCUCGGUACCCCAGAGUACAGUUGAGAAUCACUGGUGUCGAUGCACGGAGCAGGCUUCAAUGCUUUGGACUAUUGAUGAAAUCUUUUGAUUUGAAGCUUUGGGUAUUCUUUUGUGACUUUGUUAUUGAUCUGCCAUUCUUUUCAGUGAUGGUUGCAUUUUGGGCCCCUAUAUUCUGUGUGAAUGAGUGGAAAAUGGCCCUUCUUUUAGCCUUACUACUUUUCCUUAUUUUUGAAAUUCUGUUCUAAACACAAAAGUAUCAGGUUGUUUGCUAACAAUUCCCCUACAGCGGUGAUUCUCAGCCAUGGUGCUGUGACACCGUGGGGUAUCUUGAGGUCCUUUCAAGGGCGCUGCAGGGUGCCCCUCAAUGUUAGCACUGGUCACUGUGCAAACGUGAUUUGUGAGAUUAACCCAGAGAUUUCAAGGAGGAAUCCAUAGCGUCACAAAUGUUCUGCCCUGCUGUGAGCUUUCUGGGUUCUUUGCAACAGCAGAACUGCCUUGAUAUUUUUCUGUAGUCAAAAAACAAGUGAAAACUAAGAGCUGAUGUUUUCUAACGGGGAUCUCAAGUCUAUCAAGGGCUGCCUUGAAUCUAAAAAGGUUGAGAUAUACUGCCUUAUGGUACUGGAAACAUAACCGUGACUGUUUCUGGCUAUGUGGGAAACCAGAAAAUGAAACUUGAUUAGACCGAGAAAGUGAAACUACUUAAGCGGCAAUAAAAAAUAAAGAACUACAAUAAAUAACAUUAAAAAGUAAAUAGGAUUUGAAAAUGUCUUUACAGUCUGAGGUGUCACUGGCAAGAGAGAGUGAGCUGUAUGUGUAUAUACAUACAAGCAUUUAGCUAUAUCAAUCUAUUUUUUCCUAUGCGAUUUCCUGUGUGUUUAGGACUCAGCCCAUUUGACACACAGUACAUGUGUGUGUGUCUUUACUUACGUGUGUGUGUGUGUGUGUGUAUACAUACAUACACUCACACUUGUAUAUGUGCAUGUAGAUGCAUACGUACAUAAAACUUACACAUUACAUCACAUAUGUUAUGUAUCAAAUAGGUCUGAUUCUAGACACAAGACAGCACGUGAAGAAACAGAACCCACAGCAAGUCUGAGUACAUUGAGAUUAUACCAGUGUAAUGUAAGCUGGGCUUCCCCCCGCCUGCCUACCUGUUGGGCUUUCAGUGACCCUGCAUGUUCUUUUCCUACCUUGAAGGGUCUCCCAGCAGGUCCCAUCCUCUGCUCUGGGGCACAAAGCUGCUGUUAACCCUGGGUGCUAGGAGCGGGGCAACAGGUCCGUGGUGUCCCUGGGCACUGGCCGUGCUUGUUGUCCCAGGCACUUCAUGAAUACUUCAGGAACACACUGGCGUUGGGUUUCAAGUGCUUCCAGUAAUGAGAGCAAAAUGAUCUUGCAGAUUCAAUUCUAGCCAGGGGCUCUGAGAAAAUAUUUCCACAAGUGUCUUUCCACAUCCGUCAGGAGGUGAGCUGGCUGGGCCAGCUGCCUCUCAAACUUGGAUCACCCUACUUUGGUGUCAUUCACCAGCUUGGACAGCAGGAGGUGCUGAUGUGUUGUUUCCUUUCCCUUGCCAAGGGCCUGAUCCUGCAGAGACAAACGCUCUCACCCAAUUACUGGGCCCUAAGACUGACUGGACUGUUGUAUAGCGCUGCAUGGCCUCAACUCCCACCCAUCCAAAUGGGAGGUGAAAGUGCUCAGCAUUUGGCAGGACUAAGCCUUUACUUGGGCACAGUCGGAAUUAUUGCACCAUUUUCUUGCUUGAAUCAAGGAAGAAAUAUACUUCUAAGUAUUAAGGGUGAAGAACAUCUUUGCACGGAGGAAUAGUCCAGAGCCUGGUUCACUGGGUUACCUGUAUUGCUAUGGUGGCAUCUUUCUCUUUUGGUUUUGCUUCGAAAAUGCUGGCAGCAACCAGGAAAAAAAGGAACAGGAACAGCAAUUGCCAUGCGGGACAUAAGUGCUCGCCCUUUUACUCUUUUAUAUGCUGUAUGGGUGAGAGCGUGUUUGCGGAAAAGGAAAACAUCAGCUGGCGACUGGCUGAAGAAUGCAGACAGAUAAAAGACCGAACAAGAAGAAUCCGUCCCAGAACAGCGAGAGAACAACGGCAAUCGACCUUCAAGAAAGAACACAGUGAUAACCCAGCAAAAGCCCAGAGGACUGGGUGAAUUGACAAGGCUAUAAAAGAUGGGGUGAGAAAUAUCAAUUUUGGAUGUUGUUGUGCAUGUCAUCCCGGAGCAUCGGUUUGUCUGCAAGAUGGACCAGCAGACACCUGGCUCCCACUCGUGAUCAACUUUGAUGACCACUGAGUUGAUGUGAGCACCAAUAAGACUGGUAAUGCAUACCAGUGCAGAACAGAAAUUGGGGUAUGAAUGUUGUGUGUGGGUAUGUGUGUAUGAAGCGCUUAAUAAAUAAACAUGGCACCUUGCCUUAUUCUCCCUCAUAA